UAACGGUCCUAAGGUAGCGAAAUUCCUUGUCGGGUAAGUUCCGACCUGCACGAAUCGUGUAACGACCGGACCGCUGUCUCGGAGUGGUUCUCGGCGAAAUUGUAGUGGCGGUGAAGAUGCCGCCUGCCCGCAGUAGGACGGAAAGACCCUAUGCACCUUUACUAUAAGCUGGUAUUGGGUUCUGGUCUUUGAUGCGUAGCAUAGGUGGGAGACGUUGAAUUGGCGGUUUCGGUCGUCAAGGAGUCAUCAGUGAAAUACCACUCUUUAAUGAUUAGGAUUCUAACCCCAACCCUGUUAGCCAGGUGGGGGACAGUGCCUGCGGGUUAGUUUGACUGGGGCGGUUUCCUCCUAAAAAGUAACGGAGGAGCGCGAAGGUACUCUCAGCACGGUUGGCAACCGUGCGUCGAGCGUAUGGGUAUAAGAGUGCUUAACUGUGAGACCUACAAGUCGAGCAGAUGCGAAAGCAGGCCCAAGUGAUCCGAUGGUUGAAUGUGGAAUUGCCAUCGCUCAACGGACAAAAGGUACGCUAGGGAUAACAGGCUGAUCGCGCCCAAGAGUUCAUAUCGACGGCGCGGUUUGGCACCUCGAUGUCGGCUCAUCGCAUCCUGGGGCUGGAGAAGGUCCCAAGGGUCCGGCUGUUCGCCGGUUAAAGCGGUACGCGAGCUGGGUUCAGAACGUCGUGAGACAGUUCGGUCCUUAUCCACUGUGGGCGUAGGAAACUUGAGGGGUUCAUUCUCUAGUACGAGAGGACCGAGAAUGACGCACUUCUGGUGUGGCAGUUGUUCCGUCAGGGGCAGCGCUGCGUAGCCAAGUGCGGAAGAGAUAAGCGCUGAAAGCAUCUAAGUGCCAAGCUCCUCCCAAGAUAAGGUUUCCCGGACGCAAGUCCCUUAAGACCCCCGGAAGACUACCGGGUUGAUAGGUCAGGCGUGUAAGCGUGGCAACAUGUUUAGCGGACUGAUACUAAUCGGUCGUGAGGCUUGAUCGC
rnacentral:rRNA from 1 species